rnacentral:rRNA from 1 species
GACGAACGCUGGCGGCGUGCUUAACACAUGCAAGUCGAACGGAAAGGCCCUGCUUUUGUGGUGCGCUCGAGUGGAGAACGGGUGUGUAACACGUGAGUAACCUGCCCUUGACUUUGGGAUAACUUCAGGAAACUGGGGCUAAUACCGGAUAGGAGCUCAUGCUGCCUGGUGGGGGUGGGAACGUUUCGGCGGUUGGGGAUGGACUCGCGGCUUAUCAGCUUGUUGGUGGGGUAGUGGCUUACCAAGGCUUUGACGGGUAGCCGGCCUGAGAGGGUGACCGGCCACACUGGGACUGAGAUACGGCCCAGACUCCUACGGGAGGCAGCAGUGGGGAAUAUUGCACAAUGGGCGGAAGCCUGAUGCAGCGACGCCGCGUGCGGGAUGACGGCCCUCGGGUUGUAAACCGCUUUCGCCUGUGACGAAGCGUGAGUGACGGUAAUGGGUGAAGAAGCACCGGCUAACUACGUG